ACAAUACCUCGGCCUCGCCAUCUGUUCGGGUUCAGAACUGUUGGCGAAAAGUUUGCUAAAGCUGUUUUCAUUAUCCUUUAAUAGAUAGAACAACACAUCGGCCAGACCAGCAGAAGCGGCCAAAAGCAGGCGACAGGACCGGAAACCAGAAACGAAACGCAGACAGCAACUAAAACUCGAGCAGACACCAAAACCAGCCAAGCGGAAUCAGGCGCAAGUUCUAAGAAUAACAAACAAGAAGAGGGCGACUCACGUGUGGCUUCGUUGCAAGGAUCCGCAGAAAGUUGCCACAAGGUGUGCAAUAGACACCGGCAACCCCAUCCCCAGGCCAUGUGAAAACCCAAAACCCAAAUACGAGUACAAGUAAGCGGCGAAGUACUGAGUGCACACGAAAACGCACCUGGGCGCAAAUGAAUGAUGAUGAUGUUGCCACAACAGCCGCAGGCAGCAACAACAGCAACAACAGCAACAGUAGAAGUAGUUUCUUUCGCAGAGUUCUCAACAGUGUAAAAAGAUGCCAUCGCCGCGGAUUAAUAUGGGUAGGACUAACAGUUUUACCAGCCUUGAGAUAAACUUUUGAUAGAAGUAAGCCCAGUGAAUGCUAAAUAAAUAUUGUAUAUAUA